ACGGAUGACGGUGAUUACAACGUCAAACUGCGCAACCUCAUUCGCUUCCUCGACGACGGCGACAAGACGAAAAUCACGUUGCGUUUCCGUGGCCGCGAAAUGGCCCACCAGGAAAUCGGUAUGCGCGUGCUUGAGCGCUUGCGCACGGACCUCGACGAAUUCGGUCAGGUCGAGCAAAUGCCGAAGAUGGAAGGUCGCCAGAUGAUCAUGGUGAUCGCUCCGAAGAAAAAGAAGUAAGUAGCUGGAGCAGCGGCGUGCCAAAUGGCGCGUGCUCCAGUGAUUGAAGUUUUGAACGAUGCUGUGCUGGAUGUCUGGCGCAGU
rnacentral:misc_RNA from 1 species